CGUGCGUGCGUGCGUGCGUGUGUGUGUGUGUGUGUGUGUGUGUGUGUGUGUGUGGCGGUCUCUUGAUCACA
rnacentral:miRNA from 1 species